CGAUCCCCAUCUAUUGGUCCUUUUUAUUUUUAUUUUUAGUUAUUUUUUGAUUUUUUUUUUUUUAAUUCUUUUUUUAAAAAAACCAUAUUUCUAUUUUUAUUUUGCCUGAUCAGAACGAUGGCUUUCUCCGCGCGGACUUUUGUUCUGUCAGUUUUACGAGACGCUCUCCAAGGUCCUGCACGGCCCACGGAAUACUCUCACAUCCUAUAUCACUUCUCAUAUCCCGAACCCCCACCAGCUUGGAAACGAAAAUACCCAUAAUGAAAGCCAUCCCCAACAAGACAGCAAAUCAAUUCCGUUUUCAUCUCAACGUGGCGACGUUACGCCCAUUUUUCCCUGGAACUUCCUGUCGACAGAAUUCCAUGGGAUCAACGGUGCAGGAGAGAAUUAUGAUUGAUAUCAUCUAACGAAAAAUACAUUAAUAACAUUUCCGAUCCGUGGUUGGAAUAUCGUUCUCAACAGGGGUUUCACAAAUCGCCACAGCCCCUCAAAAUUCAAUCCCUUCUUGUUUUGCCUCGGUCUGUGGGGGAGCGCGCGGGGGCCAUCAUUGUCCACAGCUAGCGACCUGGCAAGGUCGGCUCUCCGUUCUUGACGGCCGCUCGCAUAUCCAAAGCUCCUCCUCCGAUGAUGGGUAAUACAUUGGCUAGCCGUUGGCACGCCGUUCUCUCAUCGUCAUUGUUUAGAACAACACCCAUCAAGGCCCAUCAACUCCAG
rnacentral:sRNA from 2 species